rnacentral:rRNA from 1 species
GACAGAGGUGCCAAGCGUUAGGCGGAAUCACUGGGCUUAAAGCGUGUGUAGGCGGAUGUCUAAGUACCUUGUGAAAUCCCACGGCUCAACCGUGGAACUGCUUGGUAUACUGGACGUCUUGAGCCAUCUAGGGGCUACCGGAACAAAUGGUGUAGCGGUGAAAUGCGUAGAUAUCGGAAGGAACACCAGUGGCGAAAGCGGCUUCCUGGUCCAGCACCGACGUUCAGGCACGAAAGCGUGGGGAGCAAACAGG